rnacentral:rRNA from 1 species
AACGAACGCUGGCGGCAUGCCUAACACAUGCAAGUCGAACGAGACCUUCGGGUCUAGUGGCGCACGGGUGCGUAACGCGUGGGAACCUGCCCUUAGGUUCGGAAUAACUCCCCGAAAGGGGUGCUAAUACCGGAUAAUGUCUUCGGACCAAAGAUUUAUCGCCUUUGGAUGGGCCCGCGUUGGAUUAGCUAGUUGGUAGGGUAAAAGCCUACCAAGGCGACGAUCCAUAGCUGGUCUGAGAGGAUGAUCAGCCACACUGGGACUGAGACACGGCCCAGACGAGGGGGGGGUGGGGGGGGUGGAAGUAGUGGCGAGGGGACGACGGCCCAAAGCAGCAAGGCGGGGGGAGUGAUGAGGGCUUUGGGUGUGUAAUCCUUGUUGCGCGGGAAUGAUAAUGAGCGGAGGGGGAGAAGCAGCGCAGGCUAACGCCGUGCCAGCAGCGGGGGAAAUGGAGGAGAGCACCCGUCUGAUC